CGCAAUGGGCGAAAGCCUGACGGAGCGACGUCGCGUGGUUGAUGAAGUCUUUCGGGAUGUAAAGACCUUUUAUGUGGGAUAAAGUUAUUGAUAGUACCACAUGAAUAAGGGGUUGCUAAACUCGUGCCAGCAGCAGCGGUAAUACGAGUGCCCCAAGCGUUAUCCGGAAUUAUUGGGUGUAAAGGGUGCGUAGGUGGUUUUGCUAGUCUUGUGUUAAAACCCGGAGCUUAACUCCGGAUCUGCACAAGAAACGGCAUAACUAGAGGGUGUGAGAGGUCUGUAGAACUCAUGGUGUAGGGGUGAAAUCCGUUGAUAUCAUGGGGAAUACCAAAAGCGAAGGCAGCAGACUGGCACAUUCCUGACAUUGAGGCACGAAAGCGUAGGUAG
rnacentral:rRNA from 1 species